GUAAGAAACCAGAGCCCUCAGGGCUCCUCCCAGCUGCAGCAGCCGGUGAGUCCAUUCCAACAGUUUUCCCAUGCAGCCAGCCUUCUCGUGAGCAACUGCCAUCGCAGCCCUCUGUCCUAGCUCACAUGGGUGGAUGCUGUGUUCAGGGGAUAAUGAGGGAUCAUCAUGGCUGCCUUUUUUUAGUUCUCAAGCUCAACUGAAAACCGCCACCGUAGUGCUGUUAAGGUAGCAGCCUGGGUGUUCUGGGGCCUGCUGAGUGGCGGGGACAGGCCACAGUCACACUGGCCUGUUGUGGUGCUGUGUUGUCAGUAACCAAGGCCGGGAGGCUUAGCGCCUCGCGUCUUCUAUCAGCUGGAGACUAUUCGUGUCUCUCAGUUCUCAGAGGACUGUGCCUGAAGCAGCAUUAUGUUCCCCAAAGACACAUGACAGGUGGCUCCAUUCAGUGCCCAGGACAGACACAAGACCGGCUCCGUCCCUGCUCAGACAGCUGUAGGGGACAGCGAGUCCCUUCCUUCCUUGGCUGGAGGAGACUUCACCCAGGCCCUGCCUCUCGUGCAUCUCAGGUCUGCUUUUAUGAUCCCAGACAGCUCCGUUAGCGAUCUCCUCCUGGCUCUGGCCACAGGGACAUAAUCUUCAGCUCUGCCACUAAUUAAAACACCACCAAGGCAAAGUCACCUAACACCUCAAGCCCAAUCCUCCUUGAGUGGAAAAUCAAGAUGACAGAACUUCAUAGGGCCUUUAACAAUAUCAAAAAACCCUGCCUCACAAAGAAAGGGUGUUGGAAAUGGAAGCAGGCUUUUCAGUGCUUUUGUGGCAACCUCAGGAUACUCUCCCUUGACUUCAAUCGAACAUAUGGAGAUGUGAAGUUAUCUCAGACAUAAUUCUAAGAUCACCGUUCCUUGUGACUCAAGAAGUUGAUCCUCUUCUAGCAAAGACAGAGUCGAUUCACCUGGCUUCUUCACACAUGGGACCCCUGCUCUAGAAGGAGGACAGAAGGACACACCACACUCACAAGGCGAUGAUCAAUCAGAAGCCCUGGGUGGAGGAGCUGCCUCAGGAAGUGGUCCCAGCUCUGAGGACAGUGACAAUGAGGAACACCAGUCGCUGCUUUUUGUCAAGAUUGAAAAAGCUUCCCUUGUGCUGGCAGCCAAUGCAGAGAUUCACCAGGAGUGAGACAGAAAGAGAGAUACAGAGGCCCAGGACCUCCAGCCAUCCCCACAGCCCAGAUCCACCCUGGGCUUUCCAAGCGCUUGAGCCAAUAAAUCUCCUCUGCUCUUUAUUCCUCCUAAACUAAGUUUCUUUCACCGACAGCCAAGCAUUUACUAACAUGCUCAAGAAAUACCUGUUGGGGCCAGUCACAGCUUCCCAAACCCUGGCAUGUCUUCAAGAUCCCAGGUCUAAAAGGCCCUGGUUCUAAAUCAACGAUCGGGACCCCACAAGUUCCUGAUAGGUUUAAUACACUCUCACAGAUCUCCAAAUGCCUUUGGGCUCACUUGGCUUACCUCAGCCCAAAGGAUACACAAUGUCUGUAAGUUCAUUUUUCUGCAUGGAAAAUGCCUUGUACAACCAGAGCACCUGGCCAAUUACUCCAAAAUGACUGCAGACCUCCAUAAGGAAGGCUCCUGGAGGACAUCCAUGAGGAAACCAGUGGCAACAGGAGGAUGAGCGCCUGAGGGUGAAGAAAGAGCUUGCCUUCUUCAAGCCCAGCCGGAAGAGAACGAAGGUGACUUUAUUCUGAGAAAAAGCCCCUUAGCCAACAUUUGUGUCUCUUCCAAAAUUCAUGAUGGAGCUGAACCCGCAGUGCAGAAGUGUCAAGAGGCGGGGCCUUCAGGAGACCAUUG
rnacentral:lncRNA from 1 species